CUGAAACUGGACCACGGCGGGUGUGUAUUUUAAUCAUUGUAAAGCCAACCAUAAAAGUAUUCUGCCAAGAAAACAUCUAUCAAGCAAAAAGACGAGAUUAUUUAAUACCAACUAGCGAGUGGAGUUGAAACAAAACUACAGCUAGAGAAUUCAUCCUCUCAUAAAACAUCUGCUCAGACAUGUCGGAGAGGCGUUUACCGUGUUUACCGCGUCACAGUGAAAGUUGGGUGGUGAUGUGAUUAUUGAAGCCGG